rnacentral:miRNA from 9 species
UGUGUAUUCCCCCUAAGCAUCA